rnacentral:rRNA from 1 species
UCCGUAGGUGAACAUGCGGAAGGAUCAUUAUUG